AAGGAUCCAAACUGAACUCCAACAAAGGUACCAAACAAACUCGGGUAAUAACAAAACAAUUGCAGAAUAUGAAGUUAGAUUAAUUCACCUUCUCUCACAUAAUAACAAAAUAAUUGCAGUUUUAUUUUUCUUUCAUUCAUUCCACCAUAAUCAUAUAUUCUCUCAAUUUCAUAUUCGAAUCCCAACAGCAAAGCAAAAAAAAAUUCGAAUUCGAGAUUCAAUUCCAGAUUUGAAUCAUUCAAUUCUUUCAUCUUUCUUCUUCAGCCAAUCAAAGCAAAAAGAAGAAGAAGAAUAAAAAGAGAGAGAGAAACCCCUUCAGAUCUGAGAAGAAGCACAAACAAGAGAUUGAAUUUAAUUAUGUUGUUGCUUCUGUAAAGAAAAACAAACAAGAAGAAGGUGAAAGAGAUCCAUGAAUUUGUUGGAGUUGUUGUUCUAUGAAUUGAUUUUUUUGCUUUACUGUUGGUGAAUUGUUUCAUGACUUUGCUGGAUUUGUAGAUGUUUGUGGGUACGUUG
rnacentral:lncRNA from 1 species